UUUCUCCUACGGGAGGCAGCAGUGAGGAAUAUUGGUCAAUGGUCGGGAGACUGAACCAGCCAAGCCGCGUGAGGGAUGAAGGUACAGAGUAUCGUAAACCUCUUUUGUCAGGGAACAAAGGCGGGGACGCGUCCCCGGAUGAGUGUACCUGAAGAAAAAGCAUCGGCUAACUCCGUGCCAGCAGCCGCGGUAAUACGGAGGAUGCGAGCGUUAUCCGGAUUUAUUGGGUUUAAAGGGUGCGCAGGCGGGCUGUUAAGGCAGCGGUCAAAGCCCGGGGGUCAACCCCGGUCCGCCG
rnacentral:rRNA from 1 species